rnacentral:rRNA from 1 species
GAGUAACUUAACAAGAGCACAUAGGUGGAUGCCUUGGCACUAGGACCGAUGAAAGACGUGGUAACCUGCGAUAAGCUCCGGGUAGCUGGCAACAAGCGAUGAUCCGGAGAUCUCUGAAUGAGGCAACUCACCAAGCCUAAAGCUUGGUAUCCCUGAGUGAAAAAGAUAGCUCAGGCGAAGGGCACGUGGGGAACUGAAACAUCUAAGUACCCACAGGAAAGGACAUCAACCGAGACUCCGCUAGUAGUGGCGAGCGAACGCGGAAGAGCCCAAACUGCUGCAGCGUGAUUCACGCCAGUGUUAGCUGCGGCGGGGUUGGAGGAACGUCGUCUUCGAUCUGGCGAUCGAGGCGGGCGUUACAAAAUCGGAUGCAAGCGGAACUGGCCUGGAAAGGCCGGCCAAAGAGAGUGAUAGCCUCGUGCGCAAAAACCACCGAUCUUCCGAGACGUUUCCUGAGUACUUCGGGGCACGAGAAACCCCGAGGGAACCUGGGUGGACCAUCAUCCAAGGCUAAGUAUUCCUUAGUGACCGAUAGUGAACCAGUACCGUGAGGGAAAGGCGAAAAGAACCCCGGGAGGGGAGUGAAAUAGAUCCUGAAACCGCAUGCAUACAAACAGUGGGAGCCCUGAAAGGGGUGACUGCGUACCCUUUGUAUAAUGGGUCAGCGACUUACAUUCCGUGGCGAGCUUAACCGAAUAGGGGAGGCGAAGCGAAAGCGAGUCUGAACAGGGCGUUCAGUCGCGGGGUGUAGACCCGAAACCAGAUGAGCUAUCCAUGGCCAGGUUGAAGGCAGGGUAACACCUGCUGGAGGACCGAACCCACUAGUGUUGAAAAACUAGGGGAUGAGCUGUGGAUAGGGGUGAAAGGCUAAACAAAUCUGGAAAUAGCUGGUUCUCUCCGAAAACUAUUUAGGUAGUGCCUCACGUAUCACUGCUGGGGGUAGAGCACUGUUUUGGCUAGGGGGUCGUUUAGAUCUACCAACCCAAGGCAAACUCCGAAUACUGGCAAGUGCGAGCGUGGGAGACAGACACCGGGUGCUAACGUCCGGUGUCGAAAGGGAAACAACCCAGACCCUCAGCUAAGGUCCCCAAGACGUGGUUAAGUGGAGAACGAGGUGGGAAGGCGAAGACAGUCAGGAAGUUGGCUUAGAAGCAGCCAUCCUUUAAAGAAAGCGUAAUAGCUCACUGAUCGAGUCGUCCUGCGCGGAAGAUGUAACGGGGCUCAAACCAUGCACCGAAGCUAGGGAUAUCCGUAAGGAUAUGGUAGGAGAGCGUUCAGUAGGCCUGCGAAGGUGGGGUGUGAACCCUGCUGGAGGUAUCUGAAGUGCGAAUGCUGACAUGAGUAGCGACAAACAGAGUGAGAAACUCUGUCGCCGAAAGUCCAAGGGUUCCUGCGCAAGGCUAAUCCGCGCAGGGUGAGCCGGCCCCUAAGGCGAGGGCGAAAGCCGUAGUCGAUGGGAAUGGGGUCAAUAUUCCCCAGCCUGCUGAAGGUGACGAAGGCCGAAAGCCGUUUUCCCUUAUUGGAUUGGGAGGGCGGCCUGGGACUUCCAGGAAAUAGCCUCAGCGAUAAGACCGUACCCUAAACCGACACAGGUGGACUGGUAGAGCAUACCAAGGCGCUUGAGAGAACGAUGUUGAAGGAACUCGGCAAAUUGCCCUCGUAACUUCGGAAGAAGAGGGCCUUCAUUCCGCGCAAG